rnacentral:tRNA from 1 species
CGGGGCGUGGCGCAGUGGCUUAGCGCGCAUGGUUUGGGACCAUGAGGUCGUGGGUUCAAAUCCCACCGCCCCGACUA